ACCCGGGAAGGCCUGCCCAGCGUAGCUGGGCUCUGAUUGGCUGCUUUGAAAGUCUACGGGCUACCCGAUUGGUGAAUCCGGGGCCCUUUAGCGCGGAUCUACCAUACCCAUUGACUAACUAUGGAAGAUUAUACCAAAAUAGAGAAAAUUGGAGAAGGUACCUAUGGAGUUGUGUAUAAGGGUAGACACAAAACUACAGGUCAAGUGGUAGCCAUGAAAAAAAUCAGACUAGAAAGUGAAGAGGAAGGGGUUCCUAGUACUGCAAUUCGGGAAAUUUCUCUAUUAAAGGAACUUCGUCAUCCAAAUAUAGUCAGUCUUCAGGAUGUGCUUAUGCAGGAUUCCAGGUUAUAUCUCAUCUUUGAGUUUCUUUCCAUGGAUCUGAAGAAAUACUUGGAUUCUAUCCCUCCUGGUCAGUACAUGGAUUCUUCACUUGUUAAGGUAAAAGCUUAACUAAUUUUAUUAAUAUUUAUGCACUGUGGAUAUAAAGGGACUGUAUGUAGAAGUCCCUGCAUUUUGUGGGAAUAUGCUUGGAAAAAGUGUUAGAAUAAGAAAAAGUAUUUCAUUUUUCUCCCUCAUGGUUAGUUUAUACAGGUUAGAGAUACCCAUGUUAUUACCAGAUUGUGUUUCUAGUAAGUGAAAAUUAGUGCCUGAGAUAACAUAGAACUGGUAAGUAUUGUUGGAAGCUAGGGUAGUCUGGUCUUUCUUUGGCUGUCAGAUACAUGUAAAACAAAGUAAUGAAAGCCUAGGGCAGAGUGGUGGUUGUAGGUGUUUUAUUCCAGUUUUGAAUAUGUUUUGGUCAAUUUAUUGUAGACAUUUAUUAUAUUUCAGUUAAAUUAUAAAAUUGUAUAGUUUUAAGUACUGAAGUAUAUAAAAAUGUCUUAUUCUUGCACCAGUUCUACCAAACCACUCUGCAGAGGUAGCGCUGUUGUUAGUUUUAUUUGUAAUCUUACGCUUGUAUGUAUGUUCACUUUGUAUGUGUAUAAAGAUUUUUUUUUUACACAAGGUGGACUUAUUUGCAUAUGUAUAUAUACAUAUUUUCCCUUUUUUGUGUAAAACAUUAUCAAGACGUAGAUCUACCUAUGUCUAUUUACAUUUUUGAUAUAAUUAAACCACAUCCAUAUUGAUGAACAUUUAAAUUAUUUUCCAACUUGGUUAUUGUUGCUCUUAUUAACAGUACUGCACUGAAUGUCCUUAUAGAUAUUUAUCUUUGUAUGCAACUUUAUAGGAUAAAUUUUUAGAAUGGGAAUGAUGGAUUGAAGAUGUUUAUUUACAUUUUGAUAGAUAUUGCCGGUUGCCCCCUAAAAAACUUGUAGCAAUUUACUCUUAAAUACUCAUGGUGUGUAAUACUUAUUGUUUUAGUACAUCAUUGCCAAAACUUGGUUUUAUCAAUCUUUUAACUAUGUGAAAAAGCCAUAUUAAGAUUGUUUUAAUUUUAUAUUUCAUGACAAUUUAACACUUCAUAUUUAGCUAUUAUAAACCGCAUAUACCUAUUCUCUACUAUAUGUUCGUUAGGAUACGUUCUUUAACAAUCUUGCAUGAUUUUGGACUUUCUGCUUUUAUGUCUUGCUUAAGUCUUCCUCACUCAAAGAUCGAAUGUAUUAGAAUGAUACAUGUCAGUAUUUUUCUGGUAGUUUUAGUAAGUCCUGUCUUCCACACAUACUUUUUUUGUCUUAAAUUCUGUAUGGUUUAAGAUUUAUUUUGACUUAAAAACUGGGAUACAGAUUCAGCUUUAUCUUUUUCC
rnacentral:sRNA from 1 species